rnacentral:rRNA from 1 species
CCCUUAGACGUUCUGGGCCGCACGCGCGCUACACUGGUCGAUGCAACGAGUUUCUUUCCUUGGCCGACAGGCCUGGGCAAUCUUUGAACAUCGAUCGUGAUCGGGAUAGAUUCUUGUAAUUUUUGAUCUUAAACGAGGAAUUCCUAGUAAACGCAAGUCAUCAGCUUGCAUUGAUUACGUCCCUGCCCUUUGUACACACCGCCCGUCGCACCUACCGAUUGAAUGGUCCGGUGAAAUCUCGGGACGGCGGCUUGGUCGCUUGCGUCCGACUGCUGAAACUUGAUUAAACCAUAUCAUUUAGAGGAAGGUGAAGUCGUAACA